UGAGAAGAGUUGGAACACCUGUAGGAAUUAAUAGCACCAUUUUCAAGGCUUGAUCAACCUUCAUUGCUGCAGACCAGCUUUAAAUGUGUUAACCCAUUUUGUGUUCCCUGAAAAAGGCCUUUUUAUAUAAUUCUAAAGUGUACAUUAUUAUUCAGUUUUGGGUAACCUUACCUUGUUUUUACCUCUGGCAGUUCACCACUUACCUUUGUACUAUUUCAAGGUAUUCAUUGGACUUGGACAUCUUGAAUGGCAAUAAAUAACUGGAACAGAUUGGUGUAUUCUAAAACUUUUGGACAUAUCCUACUUCCUUUCUUAAACUUAUUCACUAUAGGGAGAUGAGUCCUGCAACUUAUUUUACUGAAGGUAUAUGUAAUGAAAGUUAUGAAGCAGUUUCUCUACUAUGUAAAAAAGUGUAAUUUAUGAAGAGGCAUUUCCAGGUUUUUAUGCACCCAUAGCAUGAGGUGUGAAUGUGUUUUUUCUCUCUCUUUAAGAGCACUAAAUAUAUAACUAUAUAAUAUAACACUGAGUGGUUUAACAAUUUAUAAAGACAAUGAAAUGCUACUGAAAUGCACACUAGAGGUAUUCACUCAUAAUAAUCAAAUGAACUUGUGGGUCUGUGUUUCCUUGCAUGUUGCCACUUCUUCAGAAUGUCUUCCUGUUUAACAACCAUCAGAAGGUUGGAUAAGAAACACUGAGAGCAGCAUCAGUAAGAACAGCACUAUAUCUAUCAGGGUCAGUACUGCAGAACGGUUAGAGUACAGUUUAAACUCCUGCUCAGCGUCUCAGUCCUCUCAAGAUGUCCUCAGAUAUUUAUGCAGAACCAGAUCUAUUAAAGAAGGUGAGAUACAGCAGAAAGGAGGACAGAGCAGAGUGGGAGCAGAGGGACCAACUUUUCCACAGUUAAGUUAAUACAACCACAACCACGGGUCUAUUAAACACAGAGUGACAGGAAAUAAGCACAAACCAACAUCCACACUGCUUUCUAACAGGACCACAGACUCAGAGUCCUCCUUCAGUCCAGAAGGGCUCUUUCAGAUGUGCUACACUGGCUCUAAGAGUGCUGUGCCUCCUGAUGUUAGCUGGGAUCAUCAUCCUGUCCAUAUGCUGUAAGAUAAGAUACAACCUCUGAACUUCUCCUGCAAAUGAAUGUAUGACUGAUACUGAAUCCCAGCAGCCAACAAACAUGCAGCUUCACAACCAGGACGUGUCCUUCUGCCACAGCAAAUACAGGAAGUACAUGAAGCCAACACAGAAGCACCAAAAACUGCAGUUCCUUUAAUGACCACUGGAGGCUGAUGCUGAAAGCGAGUCAGUCCCCACAGACUCCCAUGUUAAAAUGAGCACCUUUGCUGCAUUAAAAACAUGUUUCCAUUCAGGACUAAAUGAGUUUUGGUCUCUAAGGAUAGUUUCCCUCUUCAUAAAAACUGUACGGUGGCAUUUUAAAUUCUCUGAUCAAUAAUAUGAGCUGCUGUGUGGUACAGCCUGACCAACAAGUUUGUUUUGCUGACUGAGCUUCUAGUAUUUCAUGAGGCUGUUACUUAGCACUGAUUAGCAGGUGUGUGUCUGUGUGCAUGAUUCCUGGCUCAUAUCUUGUGUGUGUUGUGGAGGUGGAGUGAAUGUUCUUGUUGUUCCUUCAAACUCUUCACUCAACACGGUGAUUCUGUGAUUAUAUCAACAAAGCAGACAGGCAGCAGCAUCUGCUGCAGACUGAUACAGGUGCAGUCACACUACGUUAGACAGUGGCCGUCUAUGUAAGGUAUUUUAGUGACUUUGGAAAAGCAGCAGCUGCAGGAAGAAGUGAAGGAGCUGAAGGACAAGAUGGAAGAGAAGUGUCGUGAAGGAUGGAUGAGAUUUGGAUGCAGCUGUUACUUUAAAUCCACUGAGAGGAAAACUUGGUCUGAGAGCAGGAGAGACUGUCAGGAUAAAGGAGCUGAUCUGGUGAUGAUAAACAGCAAAGAGGAACAGAUAUUUGUUAACAAACUGGGAGGAGAGUCCUGGAUUGGUCUGUAUUUUAAAAGGACAUCUUCAGGAGGAUAUGAAUGGGAAUGGGUGGACGGAUCAGCGCUGACACAAACGUUCUGGGCAGAAGGAUGGUCCCAUCGCAAUGGCUGGUAUUAUGCAGCAUGUUGUGACUAUAAUGGGAGAUGGAAAGAAUAUUAUUCUGGAUUAAUGACCUUCAUCUGUGAGAAAUGAGUUU